rnacentral:rRNA from 1 species
CCCACUCCUUCCCAUCCCGAACAGGACAGUGAAACGACUUUGCGCCGAUGAUAGUGCGGAUUCCCGUGUGAAAGUAGGUCAUCGCCAGGC